CGUAGGGUGCGAGCGUUAAUCGGAAUUACUGGGCGUAAAGCGUGCGCAGGCGGUUUGUUAAGUCUGAUGUGAAAGCCCCGGGCUCAACCUGGGAAUGGCAUUGGAAACUGGCAAGCUGGAGUGUGGCAGAGGGGGGUGGAAUUCCGCGUGUAGCAGUGAAAUGCGUAGAGAUGCGGAGGAACACCGAUGGCGAAGGCAGCCCCCUGGGCCGACACUGACGCUCAGGCACGAAAGCGUGGGGAGCAA
rnacentral:rRNA from 1 species